rnacentral:rRNA from 1 species
CGGUGUUCAACUGGCGUGUCCGCGGGACGUCCUGCCGGUGGGCUUAGCCCGCAAGGGCGGCCCAACUUCAAAUCCCAUCGCGGUGCUCUUCACUGAGUGUCGAGGUGGGCCGGCACGUUUACUUUGAACAAAUUAGAGUGCUUAAAGCAGGCUAAAACUUCGCCUGAAUACUGUGUGCAUGGAAUAAUGGAAUAGGACCUCGGUUCUAUUUUGUUGGUUUUCGGAACCCCGAGGUAAUGAUUAAUAGGAACGGAUGGGGGCAUUCGUAUUGCGACGUUAGAGGUGAAAUUCUUGGAUCGUCGCAAGACGGACAGAAGCGAAAGCAUUUGCCAAAAACGCUUUCAUUGAUCAAGAACGAAAGUUAGAGGUUCGAAGGCGAUCAGAUACCGCCCUAGUUCUAACCAUAAACGAUGCCAGCUAGCGAUCCGUCGACGUUCCUCCGAUGACUCGACGGGCAGCUUCCGGGAAACCAAAGCUUUUGGGUUCCGGGGGAAGUAUGGUUGCAAAGCUGAAACUUAAAGGAAUUGACGGAAGGGCACCACCAGGAGUGGAGCCUGCGGCUUAAUUUGACUCAACACGGGAAACCUCACCAGGCCUGGACACCGGAAGGAUUGACAGAUUGAGAGCUCUUUCUUGAUUCGGUGGGUGGUGGUGCAUGGCCGUUCUUAGUUGGUGGAGCGAUUUGUCUGGUUAAUUCCGAUAACGAACGAGACUCUAGCCUGCUAACUAGGCGUAUUUUCGACAUCUCAAAGGUCCGUCGUCCCGGCCCUCGGGUCGUGGGCGUGCGCGAUUUUUACUGUCGGCGUACUAUCAAUUCUUCUUAGAGGGACAGGUGGCUUCUAGCCGCACGAGAUUGAGCAAUAACAGGUCUGUGAUG